rnacentral:rRNA from 1 species
UACCAGCACCCCGAGUGGUCGGGACGAUUAUUGGGCCUAAAGCAUCCGUAGCCGGUUUUACAAGUCCCCCGUUAAAUCCAGCUGCUUAACAGAUGGGCUGCGGAGGAUACUAUAAGACUAGGAGGCAGGAGAGGCAAGCGGUACUCGGUGGGUAGGGGUAAAAUCCGUUGAUCCAUUGAAGACCACCAGUGGCGAAGGCGGCUUGCCAGAAUGCGCUCGACGGUGAGGGAUGAAAGCUGGGGGAGCAAACCGG